rnacentral:rRNA from 1 species
AACGAACGCUGGCGGCAGGCUUAACACAUGCAAGUCGAGCGCCCCGCAAGGGGAGCGGCAGACGGGUGAGUAACGCGUGGGAAUCUACCCAUCUCUACGGAAUAACGCAUGGAAACGUGUGCUAAUACCGUAUACGCCCUUCGGGAGAAAGAUUUAUCGGAGAUGGAUGAGCCCGCGGUGGAUUAGCUAGUUUGUGGGGUAACGGCCUACCAAGGCGCUGAUCCAGAGCUGGUCUGAGAGGCUGAUCAGCCACACUGGGACAGAGACCCGGCCCUGACUUCUACGGGAGGCAGCAGUGGGGAAGAUUGGACAAGGGGCGCGAGCCUGAUCCGUCCAUGCCGGGUGAGUAAUGAUGGCCCUAGGGUUGUAAAGCUCUUUCACCGGUGAAGAUAAGGACGGUAACCGGAGAAGAAGCCCCGGCUAACUUCGUGCCAGCAGCCGCAGUAACAC